AUUGAACGCUGGCGGCAGGCCUAACACAUGCAAGUCGAACGGUAACAGGAAGCAGCUUGCUGCUUCGCUGACGAGUGGCGGACGGGUGAGUAAUGUCUGGGAAACUGCCUGAUGGAGGGGGAUAACUACUGGAAACGGUAGCUAAUACCGCAUAACGUCGCAAGACCAAAGAGGGGGACCUUCGGGCCUCUUGCCAUCGGAUGUGCCCAGAUGGGAUUAGCUAGUAGGUGGGGUAACGGCUCACCUAGGCGACGAUCCCUAGCUGGUCUGAGAGGAUGACCAGCCACACUGGAACUGCGACACGGUCCAGACUCCUACGGGAGGCAGCAGUGGGGAAUAUUGCACAAUGGGCGCAAGCCUGAUGCAGCCAUGCCGCGUGUAUGAAGAAGGCCUUCGGGUUGUAAAGUACUUUCAGCGGGGAGGAAGGCGAUGGGGUUAAUAACCUUGUCGAUUGACGUUACCCGCAGAAGAAGCACCGGCUAACUCCUUGCCAGCAGCCGCAGUAA
rnacentral:rRNA from 1 species